rnacentral:snRNA from 1 species
AUGCUACUGGCUUUGGCAGCACAUAUACUAAAGUUGAAAUGAUACAGAGAAGAUUACAUGGGUCCUGCACAAUGAUGACAUGCAAAUUUGUAAAGUAUUCCACGUUUUU